rnacentral:rRNA from 1 species
UACGUAGGGGGCGAGCGUUGUCCGGAAUUAUUGGGCGUAAAGAGCGUGUAGGCGGUUCGGUAAGUCUGCCGUGAAAACCUGGGGCUCAACCCCGGGCGUGCGGUGGAUACUGCCGGGCUAGAGGGUGGUAGAGGCGAGUGGAAUUCCCGGUGUAGCGGUGAAAUGCGCAGAUAUCAGGAGGAACACCGGUGGCGAAGGCGGCGUCCUGGACCAACACUGACACUGAUGAGCGAAAGCCAGGGAGCAAACGGG